rnacentral:rRNA from 1 species
GACGAAGGAUGCAAGCGUUAUCCGGAUUCAUUGGGUUUAAAGGGAGCGUAGGUGGUCUACUAAGUCAGUGGCGAAAGCCGGCAGCUUAACUGUCGAAUUGCCAUUGAUACUGGUGGACUUGAGUGCAGAUGCUGUGGGCGGAAUAUGACAUGUAGUGGUGAAAUACAUAGAGAUGUCAUAGAAUACCGAUUGCGAAGGCAGCUCACAAAACUGUAACUGACACUGAGGCUCGAAAGUGCGGGGAUCAAACAGG